AUGAUGAUGAAACUAAUGGCUCCAGCCUUUUCUAACGGCUCAAGAAUCAUCUGCGCUUCCAGAUGCCACGUGACACACGUCGACACCGCAGGCCGUAAUGCAGCGGGGCCGCUGUUGAUUUGGCUCGCGCUUUAUUCUGAGUGGAUAAUGUGUGGUGGUGAGGGAGCCAGGGACCUUGUCCGAGACACCGAUACUGAGCGACUCUUCCUCAGAGUGAGCCAGUGAAGAGGAUCGGAUAAAGUGAGCAAGAAAUCCCUGAUGACAAAUUAUAUCUUCACCAGUUUUUGAUUGGUGCUUUGAUGUAAGCGAUCUCCCAGGGCAGGCGAGGGAACAAGACCCGGGUUUAUUAACGCAUGAUGCCUGCCGCUACGAUCAGACUUCACGGUUACAACCACACGGCCUAGACUACCCAUCAG
ensembl:lncRNA